UGGGGAAUAUUGGACAAUGGGGGGAACCCUGAUCCAGCCAUGCCGCGUGUGUGAAGAAGGCCUUAUGGUUGUAAAGCACUUUAAGCGAGGAGGAGGGUACUGGUAUUAAUACUACCAGGUACUGGACGUUACUCGCAGAAUAAGCACCGGCUAACUCUGUGCCAGCAGCCGCGGUAAUACAGAGGGUGCAAGCGUUAAUCGGAAUUACUGGGCGUAAAGCGCGCGUAGGUGGUUCGUUAAGUUGAAUGUGAAAGCCCCGGGCUCAACCUGGGCACUGCAUCCAGAACUGGCGAGCUAGAGUAGGGCAGAGGGUGGUGGAAUUUCCUGUGUAGCGGUGAAAUGCGUAGAUAUAGGAAGGAACACCAGUGGCGAAGGCGACCACCUGGGCUCAUACUGACACUGAGGUGCGAAAGCGUGGGGAGCAAACAGG
rnacentral:rRNA from 1 species